UACGUAGGGUGCGAGCGUUGUCCGGAAUCAUUGGGCGUAAAGAGCUCGUAGGCGGCCUUUCGCGUCGGAUGUGAAAACCCGGGGCUCAACCUCGGGCCUGCAUUCGAUACGGGCAGGCUGGAGUUCGGCAGGGGAAACUGGAAUUCCUGGUGUAGCGGUGAAAUGCGUAGAUAUCAGGAGGAACACCGGUGGCGAAGGCGGGUCUCUGGGCCGAUACUGACGCUGAGGAGCGAAAGCGUGGGGAGCGAACAGG
rnacentral:rRNA from 1 species